UACGGAGGGUGCGAGCGUUGUCCGGAAUCACUGGGCGUAAAGGGCGCGUAGGCGGCCUGAUAAGUAGGGGGUGAAAUCCUGCGGCUUAACCGCAGGGCUGCCUUCUAAACUGUCAGGCUCGAGCACAGUAGAGGCAGGUGGAAUUCCCGGUGUAGCGGUGGAAUGCGUAGAGAUCGGGAAGAACAUCAGUGGCGAAGGCGGCCUGCUGGGCUGUUGCUGACGCUGAGGCGCGGCAGCGGGGGGAGCAAACAGG
rnacentral:rRNA from 1 species